rnacentral:rRNA from 1 species
AGAGUUUGAUCCUGGCUCAGAGCGAACGCUGGCGGCAGGCCNUAACAACAUGCCAAGUCGAAACGAACUUCUUUCGGGAGUUAAGUGGCGGACGGGUAGACACUGGGAACGUGCCUUUAGGUUCGGAAUAACUCAGGGAAACUUGUGCUAAUACCGAAUGUGCCCUUCGGGGGAAAGAUUUAUCGCCUUUAGAGCGGCCCGCGUCUGAUUAGCUAGUUGGUGAGGUAAAGGCUCACCAAGGCGACGAUCAGUAGCUGGUCUGAGAGGAUGAUCAGCCACAUUGGGACUGAGACACGGCCCAAACUCCUACGGGAGGCAGCAGUGGGGAAUCUUGCGCAAUGGGCGAAAGCCUGACGCAGCCAUGCCGCGUGAAUGAUGAAGGUCUUAGGAUUGUAAUAUUCUUUCACCGGGGACGAUAAUGACGGUACCCGGAGA